UGGGGAAUAUUGGACAAUGGGCGGAAGCCUGAUCCAGCCAUGCCGCGUGUGUGAAGAAGGCCUUUUGGUUGUAAAGCACUUUAAGCGAGGAGGAGGCUACUUGGACUAAUACUCUAGGAUAGUGGACGUUACUCGCAGAAUAAGCAGCGGCUAACUCUGUGCCAGCAGCCGCGGUAAUACAGAGGGUGCGAGCGGUAAUCGGAUUUACUGGGCGUAAAGCGUGCGUAGGCGGCUUCUUAAGUCGGAUGUGAAAUCCCUGAGCUUAACUUAGGAAUUGCAUUCGGUACUGGGAAGCUAGAGUAUGGGAGAGGAUGGUAGAAUUCCAGGUGUAGCGGUGAAAUGCGUAGAGAUCUGGAGGAAUACCGAUGGCGAAGGCAGCCAUCUGGCCUAAUACUGACGCUGAGGUACGAAAGCAUGGGGAGCAAACAGG
rnacentral:rRNA from 1 species